UCGCCAUUGCCGGAGCGUCUCUGGAGCCCCGGGAGCGGCGACAGUGACUGCAGCUCGGUGAGGCGGCGGCGGAGCUCGGAGGCGGCCCCAGCGCAGCGUUUGCUGAGHGGAGGCUCCGCCUCGGAGGGGAUUCCUUGGGGCUCGGUGACAGCCACAGGAGCGUCGCUUCUCUGUCGCCACCGAUCUGCGGGGAGCAGGGACAGGGCAGGGCUGAGCCGGCAGCGCCUUCCUCAGCCCGGACCAGCCGGGAUCUCGCAUCACGGUCCUUUCAGCCUGCGAUCGUCAUUGUAAAACUGUGCCCGAGGCUGAACUCCAAAAGGCUUUCUCAGCACUGCUGAUGCUCCCCGAGCCAGCUGCCCUUUAUGCCAAGAACGAUCUCAGCUGUGAGCUGGAGAAGAGUGAAUUGUCUUCCGUUCAUGGGGUUGUGAAGGAGCGUCCCCAAGAUGCACCAGCAGCUGAGGUUACACUCUUGCAUCGGGCACAAGAAGCCACUUGUGACAAGCAGGGAAGUGUCGCUUGUGCAGUGAAUGAAGAUGUGGAGAAUGGGUUCUGCACCAGAAACGGGAGAGUGAAGGAGCCCCAUGGUCCCCCGGGCAGCUCAGCAACCUGGAAUAAACAGAAACGAACCCUCAGAGGAUGUCUGUCUGCAGUCGAGUGGAUCAGAUCCCAUCCCAAAAUCACCCU